ensembl:lncRNA
GGAUUGGAACCUAACCCCAUUGGUUGACAGCGAGAGCUUGGGAUUGGAACCUAACCCCAUUGGUUGACAGCGAGAGCUUGGGAUUGGAACCUAACCCCAUUGGUUGUAGGCGAGAGCUUGGGAUUGGAACCUAACCCCAUUGGUUGACAGCGAGAGCUUGGGAUUGGAACCUAACCCCAUUGGUUGACAGCGAGAGUUUGGGAUUGGAACCUAACCCCAUUGGUUGUAGGCGAGAGUUUGGGAUUGGAACCACAGCCUUACUUUUGGUUUAUGUGCAUUAUGUGUUUUACUUCUAUCCUUAUUAGAGCACCUUAUAUGAGUUUAGCAGUUCCCUAAGUGGUGUUUUCUUAAAGACUUAGGUUGCACCCGUAAUGACACCCUAUUCCCUAUAUGGUUCACUACUUUUGACCAGGACCAUUCCCAUAUAGGCCCUGGUCAAAAGUAGUGCCCUGGUCAAAAGUAGUGCUAUGUGCCCUGGUCAAACGUAGUGCUAUGUGCCCUGGUCAAACGUAGUGCUUUGGGCCCUGGUCAAAAGUAGUGCACUAUUUAGGGAAUAGGGUGCCCUUUGGGACAAUAACCUGUAGUGUCAAUGCCACCGUGCCUUCUGUGUCAAGCACUUCCUGGAGUUGGUAUUUUGUAAGCUCACCAAAAGCACUUAGCCCACAUCUCUCUUUCCCCUAGUAUAUCACCUAUUUAUUCACCUCAUUCUUCUUGACGUAUUUUAUCCUCUCCUUGUCUGUCACUCCAACUUCGCAGGGGCCAAGUGGGUUGUUGCCUUAUUUGAACAAUUUCUUACCAUCAGACAUAAUAUCACUUGGAGGUAAUAUUGCUAGCAUCGCUAGUAGCCCCCAGUGUAGGAAACAAGGUUGAUUUCAGCUAACACGUGGCAAACCAAAGCCAAAGUUUAAUGGAUAAAUCUUAGAAUUAGGUGCCAAAACCUGUCCAUGGGGACACUAAACAUGUUAAAUUAAGAUAAUAUAAUUCAAUAGUAUUAUCAAGAUAUUAUAUUGUCAUUCUCUCUAUCCUUUUAAUGUAUGUGUACAUCUCUCUUUUCUUCGUUCUCAACUUCCCUAACCUCUCUCUCUCUCUCUCUCUCUUCCGUAACCUCUCUCUCUCUCUCUCUCUCUCUCUCUCUCUCUCUCUGGCACCAUUAGAAGGUGAUGAUGUGUACUAUCUGGUAUUGAGGCCUUUUAUUCUUAGAUUUGUAUUUUCAAUUUGUGUGAUGUUCGUACGUUCGUUCAUUCGAUGCCCGAUGAGAUGGAGUAACGCUAUUCUUCUUCUUUUUAAAAUUAUUAUUAUUGUUUUGGCAUUAUUAAGGAGAAGAAGAGGAAAAAAAUAAUAAGAAAAAAAAAUGUCUUGUUGAAUGUUGUACAGAUAGCACUAGAGAUGUGUUUUUAAUAAGAGAGCGCAAACCCAAGCUCUAGUCCCGCCCACUCCUCCCUCCCAUUGGCAGAUAGGACAAGUGACUUGCCAAGGAUAGUACAAGUAACCCGCCAAUCAUUUAAAUGAACUGCCCUCCAACUGACAAACAGGUUCGAUCCAGUGAAUGUAAACUACAUCAUGAUCUUAAAUUACCCACAGAAUAUGUCAUAAUGUGAAAAUGUGAAUGUCCCAGACAGUCAAUGGUUCAUCUGAAAUAUUUCCUAAAUUGCUUCUUGCAAGGAAUCUCUCUGAAAUAUGCUAGAAAUCUUUUAACUGGUGCCUAACUAUAUUGUUCUCACAUAAUUUCCUAGUUUCACAUGCAUUUUGAAGUGCAGAUGUUCGAGUACUGUUGCAGUGUGUGUGACUGACAUAGGUCAUAGGGCCCUUGUCAAAAGUAGUGCACUAUAUAGGGAAUCGGGUGCCAUUUGGAACAAAGCCACUGUCUUGUUGGAGAGGUGGAAGGGAGUGCUGGGUUUGGGCUCUCGUGUAGAUGACUGCCAUUGCAGUGAGGGAAAAACUGACCUAACCUAACAUAGUAGUGACUAAUAUGAGUUUGUGGACAGAUUUUUUAAAAAACACACACAUUAGAGAUACAUUAAUAAAUGCAAACAAAGGGAAAAAAG